rnacentral:snRNA from 1 species
UUGCUUUGGCAACACAUAUACUAAAAUUGGAACGAUACAGAGAAGAUUAGCAUGGCCCUUGCGCAAGGAUCAUGCACAAAUUCAUGAAGCAUUCCAUAUUUUU